UUCUCUGGUUUUUUUCAAAUCGCAAAAAUCUUUUGCUUUUUACUAAAGAUUUCCGUGGACAGAAACUUAUAAAAAUGUGCAUCAAUUUUUUUGAGGUCCUGUUUCUGUAGAACU